CCUACGGGUGGCUGCAGUAAGGAAUAUUGGGCAAUGGAGGCAACUCUGACCCAGCCAUGCCGCGUGAAGGAUGACGGCCCUAUGGGUUGUAAACUUCUUUUAUACGGGAAUAAACCCGGGUACGUGUACCCGGCUGAAUGUACCGUAAGAAUAAGGAUCGGCUAACUCCGUGCCAGCAGCCGCGGUAAUACGGAGGAUCCAGGCGUUAUUGGGUUUAAUUGGGUCUAAGGGGUACGUGUGCGGAUUUGGUGAAAUCCUACAGCUUAACUUUAGAACUGCCGUUGAUACUGCAAGUCUUGAGUACAUUUGAUGUGGGCGGAAUGUGUCAUGUAGCGGUGAAAUGCUUAGAUAUGACACGGAACACCAAUUGCGAAGGCAGCUCACAAAACUGUAACUGACGCUGAGGCACGACAGCGUGGGGAUCAAACAGGAUUAGAUACCCCUGUAGUC
rnacentral:rRNA from 1 species